rnacentral:rRNA from 1 species
ACGGGGGCCCGCACAAGCGGUGGAGCAUGUGGUUUAAUUCGAUGCAACGCGAAGAACCUUACCUACUCUUGACAUCCAGAGAAUUCGCUAGAGAUAGCUUAGUGCCUUCGGGAACUCUGAGACAGGUGCUGCAUGGCUGUCGUCAGCUCGUGUUGUGAAAUGUUGGGUUAAGUCCCGCAACGAGCGCAACCCUUAUCCUUAUUUGCCAGCACGUAAUGGUGGGAACUUUAGGGAGACUGCCGGUGAUAAACCGGAGGAAGGUGGGGACGACGUCAAGUCAUCAUGGCCCUUACGAGUAGGGCUACACACGUGCUACAAUGGUCGGUACAGAGGGUUGCGAAGCCGCGAGGUGGAGCUAAUCUCACAAAGCCGGUCGUAGUCCGGAUCGGAGUCUGCAACUCGACUCCGUGAAGUCGGAAUCGCUAGUAAUCGUAGAUCAGAAUG